GCCGAGGUGGCGGAAUGGUAGACGUACAGGACUUAAAAUCCUGUGACCCGUUUGGGUCGUGCGGGUUCGAGUCCCGCCCUCGGCACCG
rnacentral:tRNA from 2 species